GACGAACGCUGGCGGCGUGCCUAAUACAUGCAAGUCGAACGCUGAAGGAGGAGCUUGCUUCUCUGGAUGAGUUGCGAACGGGUGAGUAACGCGUAGGUAACCUGCCUGGUAGCGGGGGAUAACUAUUGGAAACGAUAGCUAAUACCGCAUAACAGUAGAUAUCGCAUGAUAUCUACUUGAAAGGUGCAAUUGCAUCACUACCAGAUGGACCUGCGUUGUAUUAGCUAGUUGGUGAGGUAACGGCUCACCAAGGCGACGAUACAUAGCCGACCUGAGAGGGGGACCGGCCACACGGGGACUGGAAACCGGCCCAGCCUCCGACGGAGGCAGCAGUAGGGAAUCUUCGGCAAUGGACGGAAGUCUGACCGAGCAACGCCGCGUGAGUGAAGAAGGUUUUCGGAUCGUAAAGCUCUGUUGUAAGAGAAGAACGAGUGUGAGAGUGGAAAGUUCACACUGUGACGGUAUCUUACCAGAAAGGGACGGCUAACUACGUG
rnacentral:rRNA from 1 species